rnacentral:rRNA from 1 species
ACCCAGAGGAAGAGAAAGAAAAAUCGAUUCCCUCAGUAGCGGCGAGCGAAGCGGGAAGAGCCCAAACCAACUCUUUGGAGUUGGGGUUGUAGGACUCUCAGAAUUGAUGGAUGCUUAGUCGAAUGGUCUGGGAAGGCCAAUCAUAGAAGGUAAGAAUCCUGUAGACGAAAAGCAGAAAGAGAGGAGAGUAUCCUGAGUACCACGAGGCACGUGAAAUCUAGUGGGAAGCAGGGGGGCCCACCCCCCAAGGCUAAAUACUCCUUAGUGACCGAUAGAGAACAAGUACCGUGAGGGAAAGGUGAAAAGAACCCCGGGAGGGGAGUGAAAAGAACCUGAAACCGGAUGCUUACAAGCUGUCACAGCACAAUAGUAGUGUAGUGGCGUACUUUUUGUAGAACGGACCUGCGAGUUGCGUUAUGAAGCGAGGUUAAGGUGAGAAGCCGGAGCCGAAGCGAAAGCGAGUCUGAAGAGGGCGAAAGUUUUAUGACGCAGACCCGAAACCGGGUGAUCUACCCAUGAGCAGGAUGAAGCGUUAGUAAAAUAACGUGGAGGUCCGAACCAGGCAUCGUUGAAAAGAUGUUGGAUGACUUGUGGGUAGGGGUGAAAUUCCAAUCGAACUCGGAGAUAGCUGGUUCUCCUCGAAAUAGCUUUAGGGCUAGCCUUAAUUAGAUAACUUAUGGAGGUAGAGCACUGAAUGGACUAGGGGGCUUCACCGCCUACCGAAUCUUAUCAAACUGCGAAUGCCAUAAGUAAUAGAUUAGGAGUCAGACUGUGGGGGAUAAGCUUCAUGGUCAAAAGGGAAACAGCCCAGACCGCCAGUUAAGGUCCCAAAAUAAUGAUUAAGUGGAAAACGAUGUGAAAUCGCUCAGACAACCAGGAUGUUGGCUCAGAAGCAGCCAUCAUUUAAAGAGUGCGUAAUAGCUCACUGGUCCAGGGGUUUUGCGCGGAAAAUGUAACGGGGCUCAAAUCAUUUACCGAAGCUGCGGAAUGUGUGAGAGCACAUUGGUAGAGGAGCGUUCUUAACACGGAGAAGGCAUACCGGAAGGAGUGCUGGAGAGUUAAGAAGUGAGAAUGCAGGUAUAAGUAUGCGAAAAGGCAGGUGAGAAUCCUGCCCGCCGAAAAUCUAAGGAUUCCUGGGGAAGGCUCGUCCGCCCAGGGUAAGUCGGGACCUAAGGCGAGGCCGAAAGGCGUAGUUGAUGGAAAACUGGUAGAUAUUCCAGUACCACCUGAUAUUGCAUGAGAGAAGUAGUGACGCAGAAGGAUAGGCAGAGCGCCCAGUUGGUGAGGCGUUUAAGUAAGUAGGGUAUCAGAUAGGGAAAGCCGUCUGAUGUAGAGCCUGAGAUACGAAUACGAGGGAAAAAUAGUACCGAAGUCGCUGAUUCCCGGCUGCCAAGAAAAGCUGCUAUCGAGAUAGAGGGUGCCCGUACCGCAAACCGACACAGGUAGAUGGGGUGAGAAACCUAAGGCGCGCGAGAAAACUCUUGUUAAGGAACUCGGCAAAAUGAACCCGUAACUUCGGGAGAAGGGUUGCUUAUCAUGGUGAAGGUCAGACGACUGGAGCUGAGAUAAGUCGCAGAGAAAAGGUCCAGGCGACUGUUUAGCAAAAACACAGGUCAUUGCAAAAGUGAAAGCUGAAGUAUAAUGGCUGACGCCUGCCCGGUGCUGGAAGGUUAAGGGGAAGAGUGAGAGCUUUGAACCGAAGCCCCAGUAAACGGCGGCCGUAACUAUAACGGUCCUAAGGUAGCGAAAUUCCUUGUCGGGUAAGUUCCGACCCGCACGAAAGGCGUAACGAUCUGGACGCUGUCUCAACAAGGGACUCGGCGAAAUUGAAAUACCGGUAAAGAUGCCGGUUACCUGCGAUAGGACAGAAAGACCCCAUGGAGCUUUACUGUAGCCUGAUAUUGGGUUUUGGAUAUUAAUGUACAGGAUAGGUAGGAGACAGGGAAUCAUGGACGCCAGUCUGUGAGGAGUCGAUGUUGGGAUACUACUCUUUAAUAUCUGAAAUUCUAACAAGGUACUCUGAAGCGAGUAUUUGGACAGUGUCAGGUGGGCAGUUUGACUGGGGCGGUCGCCUCCUAAAAGGUAACGGAGGCGCUCAAAGGUUCCCUCAGUGCGGAUGGAAAUCGCACGAAGAGUGUAAAGGCAGAAGGGAGCUUGAUUGCGAGACCAACAAGUCGAGCAAGUAGGAAACUAGGACUUAGUGAUCCGGCGGUUGCGAGUGGAAGUGCCGUCGCUCAACGGAUAAAAGCUACCCUGGGGAUAACAGGCUUAUCUCCCCCAAGAGUCCACAUCGACGGGGAGGUUUGGCACCUCGAUGUCGGCUCA